CCUACGGGAGGCAGCAGUGGGGAAUAUUGGGCAAUGGGCGCAAGCCUGACCCAGCAACGCCGCGUGAAGGAAGAAGGCUUUCGGGUUGGAAACUUCUUGUCACAGGGACGAAGAAAGUGACGGUAGCGGAGGAAUAAGCAACGGCUUACUACGUGCCAGCAGCCGCGGUAAUACGUAGGGGGCAAGCGUUAUCCGGAGUUAUGGGGUGUAAAGGGCGGGUAGGCGGGAGCGUAAGUCAGAGGUGAAAACUCCGGGCUCAACCCUGAGCCUGCAUUUGAAACUGUGUUUCUUGAGUGCUGGAGAGGCAAUCGGAAUUCCGUGUGUAGCGGUGAAAUGCGUAGAUAUCCGGAGGAACACCCGUGGCGAAGGCGGCUUGCUGGACAGUAACUGACGCUGCGGCGCGAAAGCGUGGGGAGCAAACAGGAUUAGAUACCCUUGUAGUC
rnacentral:rRNA from 1 species